rnacentral:rRNA from 1 species
GACGUAGGUGGCGAACGUUAUCCGGAAUUAUUGGGCGUAAAGGGUGCGUAGGUGGCCUGACAAGUUAUCAGUGGCAAAUCGAGGCUCAACCUCGUGGAAACUGGUAAUACUGUUCGGCUUGAGUACAGGAAAGGUUAACGGAACUCUAUGUGGAGCGGUAAAAUGCACAGAUAUAUAGAAGAACAUCAAUAAAGGCGAAGGCAGUUAACUAUUCUGUUACUGACGCUGAGGCACGAAAGCGUGGGGAGCAAAACGG